CUGCCUGAAGAUACAAAAAACUGGUUAGACAAAUUCAUCAUUUCACUGGUUUCAUUGAGACAUUCAAGAAAAGUUGGGAGAAUGUUAAUCUGUCAAUUUAAUCCUCUGAGGGGAAAAAAUGUAUAACCAUCAGGUAUUCUUGAGCGAGUGAUAAAUUUUCUAAAAAUUAGCAAGGUAGAUUCUCAAACUAAAUGUGAAUGAAGUGGUUUCCUGGAACUAUACCCAAUUCAGGAGCUGGUCACAGACCAAAGUAUCUCCAGUAAGAAGCUGCUGUCAAACCGAGUAUCCUUAUGUUUUAUGUAUGUACAAAGGAGAUAACCAAAUGGCCUCAUUCUAGCAAGCUUUUCUUACAAAAUCCAAAUUCCUCAUUCUGAAAACGAAACUGUCCAACUGUAAUCCAGACUAUGUAGAACUUUAGUAUAAGACAAACACAGCGUUAUCAGAAUCAACCUUCCAAUUUCCAAACCCCAAAACCAACAGACAUAUUAAAAUUAAGAUUACAUUUUUAAAACUACAACCACCACCACCAAAAAACCAGAACAGAAAACUGAACAGAGUCAUAAGUUCUACAUUGCUAGGCUAGUUAAGAAACCACAAAAUAAAACAUAACCACAAACACAAAAGUAGGUAUGUGCUGUAUUAAAAUAAAUCUGUAUGAAUUUCUUUUCCUUACUACCGCUAAUGGCCUAUGUAGUAAGGAAAGCUUUUCAAAGUUAAUACUUAUCCUGGAAAAUUUCAUUGCUUACUGGUAUUUAAAAACCUAGUUAAUAUUCAAAUGAAGUUUAGUAUGUCAUCUAAGACAAGCGCUCUAAUCCCUUUUUUUAUUUUUUUCAGGGGAGAGUGGGAACGCAGUCCGCCAUUACCACAAAUUAUGCAGUCAAAUCUCCCACAUUUGGGGGAAUUGCAGGGGUCAGCACAUCCAGAGUACAGUGGAUAAGCCUUGCCCUGGGAAAACCACCUUCUUGAUCACGGUAUCUCCCCUGUCAGGCAUGAAGUUCAUUUUAUAUUCCCGAGAAACCAAAAGUGACCCAAUUUACCAAGUUUUUAUCACCCCAUUUUCAAACAGAAAAGUUCAAAAAAACAA